UUAGGGUUUAUUAAGUCUGGUUUCUACCCCAGCCUUUCUGAAUGCCGCUGUUUUCACAAGCUUGAAGUUAAAGAGUAUCUCUCUCCGGGGGCUGAAGUGCCUGGCUGGGAGGUAGCUGUGAGAGAGCUGAAGCCCUGGGCAAGGAACCAGGCUUUCCUCCCCCCACAGCUCUGCUGGAAAAAGACACCACCCAAAGGAACCACUAGGAAUCACUUACCCGAGAGUACCCUGGGGGAAAAGUGGGAGCUGGCCUCCCACUGAAGACCUGAGUGCUCUUGGGUGCCAUACUUUCUCAUCACCGCUGAGUGGAGGCAGCUCUGAGCGUAAGCCAGGAUGACUACCAGCCUUCUGAGAAACCGUGAUGUGAUCCAACAGCGUGGAGCGACGCGUGCUGGAAAUGUAGGACUGCGAGUGUGCGGCCACACACUCCCGAGGGAGUAUGUUUGACAAGCAUGUCCCACGUCAAUGUAUGAAAAUUGUAAAGUA